rnacentral:lncRNA from 1 species
UUUCCCAUGCAAUCUAGUGAUUCAUGACUCUUGCGUUCCAGGUUUUACGGUGUCCCCUAUGUCUACAUAGCAAUUGUACAAGGUAAACUUUCAGAUUAUAAUCGUCAAAUACAAUAUAUAGAUGUUAAAUGAAUAAAUUGACCAAACCACAAAAAAGAAAAAAAAUAAAUGGCUUCAAAGCGAAGCACUUGAAAGAAAAAGAAUCAUUCCACGGGUCGACCAACCGUCUCGACCAUCAUACACGGGUUUCCAAUGCUUAAGUCAUCCCACCGUCGUGACUUAACCGACUUAGUCAACCCCGUGAGCCACCCAACCACUUCCUCCAUCCCUGGCCUUUUCUCUCUACACGUUCUCACACACUUAGCCGCCACCAACCCCAGAUGAUUCCUCACGCUCACAUCCACCGGUGGUCCGAUUCUCGGAUCAUAAAUCCCACCGAUUUUGCCUCUUUUUAUCAUCGGAAUCGCCCAAUCUACUAUAAACGACGGCGAGUAUCUUACGUCGAUUGCUUUUCUCCCGCUGAUUAUCUCUAACAACAAGAUCCCAAAGCUGAACACAUCUGUUUUAGUGCUUAAUCUAUCAGCCGUAACGUAAUCUGGAUCUAAGUACCCCAUUGUUCCUGCAGGUGGUGUUGAUUUCACUUUCUGAUCGUCCACAUUGCAUCUGAUCGCUAAUCCGAAAUCGCCUAGCUUCGCGUUUAGGUUCUUGUCCAUCAGUACGUUUGCUGAUUUGAUAUCUCUAUGUAUGAUCGGUGGCUCCUGGGAAUGUAGGAGAUGUACGGCUUUCGCUAUCUGAAGAGAGAUUUUGAUUCUCUUGCUCCAGCUUGAGAUCGCAACGGAAUUCAAAACGGAAUCGGAGUGAAUUACUUCGUAUAAGCUUCCGUUCCCCAUGAACUCAACAACGAGAAGCGGAUCUUUGGAGUUAUCGGCGCUAAAACCUAAGAGAUUCACGAACCUAGGGCUACGGAUCCUGGAGAGAAUCUCGAACUCGUUGUGGAACUCGCGGCUGAUUUCGCGAGAUUUCGAAGGUCUCUUGACGGCGACGAGGCGCGAACCGAUGACCGCUUUGUAAACGCUUCCAUGGCUACCACGGCCGAGGAGAUUAUUGAUGUCGAAUCCUCCUGUGGCUGAUUCGAGAUCGCGAUGGAGGAAACGACGAAGCCUGGGGCGGUCUUCUUCGGUGGGAGAUUCGGGAGGAGCAGAAGCUUUGCUGGAGGUUGAUGCGGAAGAAGAUACGACGAUUGCGACGGCGGAUCCGGCUUUGCAGGAGAGAUAACCCAUUGAGUUGAGAGAACAAGGUUGAAGGAAGAAGAAGAAGAAAGUAAAAGGGAAAGGUGUGGGAGCUUAAUGGCGUAAGAAUUCAUUUUUGUUAAUUAAAGGACCAUUUGAUUAGACUCAAAGAAGUGGAGGGGUCAUGACUCUUAUUUUGUCUAUUAAAUAUGCCGUAUCCUAAUUAUUCGUGAAUCGCCCCUCUUGUUUAUUAUCAGUCUAGUUAAUACCAAAACUAAUAAAUUGAUCAAUUUACAUCCCAGUUUUAAUCUAGUUUUAUGUUAGUUCAAGUAGAGAGAUUAGGAUUUAGGCGGCUGGAUCUAAUGGGCCACGUGGCAUUUUUAAUAGUUUCGCGCGAUGGAAGGUGACGAUGGAUGAGAUGACGUGUAAAAUAUUUAUUGGCUGGACACGUUGUUAAGGAGCAGUUAGUUUUCGUAUAAAAAAGCUGAAACAAGGCAAAACCUUAAACCUUUGUUUUACUGAUUAAAGUCUAACGCCGGGACGACUAAGAUGCCGACGAUUAGCUAUCUCCGAUGUAUGUUAUUAUUGGUGGUGGUCUCAUUGGUGGGGUUUUCGAUCGCUGAGAAAGCGAAUUCCUCUGGGGGUAUGGUUUGGUCUACAGCGAGAGAUGAGGCUGAAUUGGUUGAAGAUUCCGGUGCUAUGAUCGGCGAGCAAGAUCAACUCGAAGGUGGAUUCUCUUCAUUUGAUGGAAUGUUACACUGGGCAAUUGGUAAAUUAUCUUCCUCAGUGUUCUUCUUCUUCUUCUUCUUUACUUUUUGUUGUGUUUUGUCUAGAUCUGAUUUGUCCGGUUAUAGGUCACUCGGAUCCUGCGACAUUGAAGGAAGCAGCUAAAGAUGCAGAGAAGAUGACUCUGGAUGAGUUACAGCAGCGUCAAUUGGAGUUAAAGGUGUGGACUUUGUGACUCUGGUUUUUAAUUUCUGUUUUUUUUACUGGGAUCCCAUCUGAAACUAGUAGUCUUGAGCAGGAGCUUGUGGAUAAGCUGAAAAUGCCAUCAGACGCGAGGUUGAUGCAAAUAGCCAUUGAUGACUUGAAAAAUUCGUCCUUGUCUCUUGAAGAUCGUCACCGUGCUUUACAGGAACUAUUAAUCCUGGUUGAACCGAUUGAUAAUGCAAAUGGUAAUUGGAAUCCUUAACAAGUUAUUGAUUCCUUUUUCAAAAAACAAAAACUCGUUAUUGAAUCUCGUAUAUUUGUUAUUACUUCCUAGGAAUUGUGUUCUUGUGCAUCUCCUGGUUACAGUUUUACAUGAGUCCUGAUCAAUUGUUGUUGUCCGUUGAGUUUCUCAUCAUUUUCCUCUUGUGUAGAUUUGAGCAAAUCAGGAGGGCUUAGAGUUGUCGCAGGAGAGCUUAAUCAUGAUGACACAGAAGUCAGGAAACUAGCUGCGUGGGUGCUCGGGAAAGCUAGCCAAAACAACCCAUUUGUUCAAGAGCAGGUUUGUUGUCGUUGGACAUGUAGAGCAGAACCGUUGGUAGAAGUAUAAGCCGUCUGACCCAAAUCAUUUUUCUUGGUCUGUUAAUUUGUGGUAUUAGGUUCUUGAACUUGGGGCUUUAGCAACACUGAUAAAGAUGGUAAACUCUAGCUCUGUCGAAGAAGCUGGUAAAGCACUCUUUGCUGUUUCUGCCUUGAUACGGAAUAAUAUAGCUGGGCAGGAAAAGUUUUAUGCAGCACAAGGAUACAUCAUGCUUCAGGUGAGUACACAAGAAAUACAUCAUAUCAAGUUUUGUUCAUCAUUUCUCUGAUUCAAAAUUCGUCUGUAGGAUGUGAUGCGGAAUGGGAGUUCGGAUAUCAAUCUAAGACGGAAAGCUGUAUUCUUAGUGGGUGAUUUAGCCGAGUCUCAACUACAGAACAGAGAGAAAGCUGAACUUCCUAUUUUCAAUGAUCGUCUGUUCCUAAAGUCCGUGAUCGAUUUGAUUGCUGUCUUUGACCUUGAUCUCCAAGAAAAGGUAGAAAUCUAACAGGUCCCCAUGACCUUUUAUUCCUCUAUGAAUCUUGGCACACAUCUCCUUCUCACAUAUGCCACUCGGAAAAUAUGUUUCAGGCUCUUACAGCAAUCCAGACUCUUCUUCAACUCAAAUUCAUAGAGCCUCAAAUUCUCAAAGAGUUCUGUGGGUUGGAAGGAGCAUUAGAGAGAAUGAAGCUGCAGCUGAAGGAAUCAAUGACGGAUGAAUACAAGAGAGACUAUGCUGCAGAUGUGGAGAGCCUUCGUGGUGAAGUGGAACUGAUCUUCCGCCAAAAGCUUGGAGUUUUAUGAACCAUGACCAGUAAGAAAGCAACUCCCUGUGCGUUAAUUUCUGGUGGGAAAAGCUUUAGGAGUUGUAGACAAAUCUAACUGUCUUAGAUAGAGUUAAAGAUGUGUUACUUAGGCGGAUAUUGCUGAUCGAUUUUGCAUGUUAUUUUUUUUUUUUUUUUUGAUUUUGCAUGUUAUCGCCUCUACUUGAGAGUUUUCUUCCCGUCGUCUAGUUUCAUAUAGUGUUUGCAAAGUUUUUCUUUUAUGUAUAGUAUUAUAAACUUCCACUACUUGCUUGAUUUCUGUUCCAUGUAAAUGAAGGAGUUGAGUUGCAGAAACUUACAUACUGUAUUGUUAGGGAAAAAAAAGUCACAAUAGAGAUCACUCAAGAUUUGGAUAUGGCAAGUUUAAAAAAGAGAAGCAGUCAUGCUCAUAAUCUCAGAUACUACCGCGCCUAUGGAUUUGUACUCUUCAAGAGCCCUAUCAGCUAUCUUGCACCGCUCAAACUCUGGCAAGAACAGCCACAAAGCUGUCACUAUCACAAACCCGAGUGUCAAGAACUGACUGACUGCUGUUUGGAGUUUCCACCUUCCGUUUAUAGCUUUCUUGAUGAUAAUCUCCACAGUCGUGCAAAAUCCGUUUAUAAGGAAGAACCACAUUACCUUCCAAUCUGGUCUCAACCGUCCCAUGUAGAAGAAGAUGAGCUCGUGCAUUAUCCCCGAGACAACGAACGUCCCGAAAAUGGCAGGAACCUUGGACCAGUUCCGGCCCAAGAUGGAGAACAGCUGGACCAUGGGUUCAUACACUGUUGGUCGUAGGAUCCCCGUGACCAUUAGGUUCCAUCGUCUCCCCCAGAAAUCUUGUAGUGAUGUUGCGAGGUAUGGCUGGUUGAACUGUGGCUCAAGCUCAAGAUCGGACAUGGCUCGAACCAGAGCAGCCAUGGCGGCUAGGAUGAGCUCGAGGGUGAAAUAGAUGUGGAUCGCGUAAAGAAUCAAUAGGACUUUGUCGGGAAGUUUGCUGCUGUAAUCGUAGACUUUGAUGAGAAUAACCAAAAUAACCGCCUUAAUGGUAUAAAUCAAAGGACCCUCUCUGGAUCCUCCAUGGGAGCGAGAUUUUAAAGGUUUAGACUUUAGCUGAAUCUUGAUGGGCAAAGAAGAGACAGCUAAGAAAACAGGUAAAGAUAGGGGUUUAGGAUUCGAAGAGAGAGGACCGCGUCCCAAUGCAAAGAGAAAGAGCUUAAAAUUUGCGAGCCAGGCGAUGAAGAAAGCGGUGACGCCGAGUAAGUGCACGGAAGGAAUCAUCAAGAAAGGAAGAAUGAAGAAAAUGAAGAAAACAGGGAUGAUCAGAAUCAGCCUUUUGAUUCCUUUUGGAAGCAAUUUGCCAAUGAAAAAAGUGUAACACAGUGAGAGGAUCACUACACCCCAUGCCUUGAAGAAGCUCACCAUGUUUUUGCUUCUUGAAUUCAAGUCUCUCGGGAUGGAAGAAGAAGAUGAUCAGUACCAAAACUGACACGAGAAAAAAAAAAACUGACACGAGAAAACGUGCCGUCGAUUAAUUUAUGAUAAAGACGUGUGAUUACUUAAAUAAAAUCACAUGAGAAAAAAUCUUCAUUUCUUUCUUUUUUUUCUAUUCGAAAACAAUUUGACAAUAAAGAACCAAUUCUCUUUUCUUUUCUUUAAUAUUAUUCAUUGGAGAUAUGGUAAAAUGGGCUUAUGCCUAUCCCGGUAUGGUUUAUUCCAAUCGUAAUUUCUCGUCAUAAAGACCGUUUCUAAGGCCAAGUAAAAUCAUCAUCGGCUCUGCUCAACCUUUCCUGUAUUCUCAAAAUCACACAAAUCCUAUAUCUAUCUUUGAAUUUGCUUCUUUCAUCUUGCAAGGAUUUCAGAAGACGAGACAACAAGUUUCUAACUUUGAUUCUCUCUGUAAGAUUUUUUUCUUCCUUGAGCGAUGUCAAAUAUUUUAAAGAGUUGACUACUGUUGUAUUCAUCAACUAUGUUAAUCAAGAACAUAUUCUUCAACACCAUCAUAUCCCUUUAACAUGGAUAAUAUUACCAUAACUCCAAUUAUCACAAUUUUGAAUAGAAGAGGUGUUUUCUUUGGCAAUCUAGAAUUUUAGAAUAAGAAGAUGAAUAUGGAUGAGGAAGAAGUACAAGUUUGGGAUGGAGCAUCGAGAGGAUGUAGCCACACUCACAGCUGUAACCCUCCAGGCCCAGAUGAUGCUUCUCACUCCCACACAUGCUUCCACACUCAUACUCAUCUCAUCAUCCCUGUAUAAUACAUAUCUUUGCCUAAUAUUUGAUAUGGUUUCUGAUGAUUUGAAUGAUAUAGAAAAAUAUGAGUGUUUAUAUUGCAACAGGACCAGCAAGAGAAUGAUCAUUCUGACAGCAGCAACAAGAAACGGUCGUGUGGGAACAGAGAGGCAGUGAGGAAGUACAGGGAGAAGAAAAAGGCUCGCACUGCGUACCUUGAAGACGAAGUGAAGAGAUUGCAAACUCUGAAUGAACAUUUGCAUAGGAAGCUUCAGAGCCAAGCAACGGUUGAAACCGAAGUCAUCAGACUCCGGACUCUUUUGGUAGAGAUGCAGGGGAAGAUUGAUGGUGAACUUGGUGGUUUCUCGAAUCAGAAGCAUUGCUUCGGUUCUGGUUUUGUGUUCAAAGAAGGUGACG